GAUGAAGAACGUAGUGAAAUGCGAUAAGUAAUGUGAAUUGCAGAAUUCAGUGAAUCAUCGAAUCUUUGAACGCACAUUGCGCCCUCUGGUAUUCCGGGGGGCAUGCCUGUUCGAGCGUCAUUACAACCCUCAAGCUUUGCUUGGUAUUGGACAUUGCCAGUUUCUGGCAGGUCUUAAAAUCAGUGGCGGUGCCAUUUGGCUUCAAGCGUAGUAAUUCUUCUCGCUUUGGAGAUCCAAGUGGUUACUUGCCAAUAACCCCCAAUUUUUUCAGGUUGACCUCGGAUCAGGUAGGGAUACCCGCUGAACUUAAGCAUAUCAUAAGCGGAGGA
rnacentral:misc_RNA from 1 species